rnacentral:rRNA from 1 species
GUAGGUGUUGAUUACGGUGAGGGUCCACCCGUUCCCAUUUCGAACACGGUAGUUAAGCUCACAUGUGCUGACAAUACUUGGCUGGCGACGGCCCGGGAAGAUAAGUAACGCCUACA